rnacentral:rRNA from 1 species
AUUGAACGCUGGCGGCAGGCCUAACACAUGCAAGUCGAGCGGAUGAAGGGAGCUUGCUCCUGGAUUCAGCGGCGGACGGGUGAGUAAUGCCUAGGAAUCUGCCUGGUAGUGGGGGAUAACGUCCGGAAACGGGCGCUCAUACCGCAUACGUCCUGAGGGAGAAAGGGGGGGAUCUUCGGACCUCACGCUAUCAGAUGAGCCUAGGUCGGAUUAGCUAGUUGGUGGGGUAAAGGCCUACCAAGGCGACGAUCCGUAACUGGUCUGAGAGGAUGAUCAGUCACACUGGAACUGAGACACGGUCCAGACUCCUACGGGAGGCAGCAGUGGGGAAUAUUGGACAAUGGGCGAAAGCCUGAUCCAGCCAUGCCGCGUGGGUGAAGAAGGUCUUCGGAUUGUAAAGCACUUUAAGUUGGGAGGAAGGGCAGUAAGUUAAUACCUUGCUGUUUUGACGGUACCAACAGAAUAAGCACCGGCUAACUUCGUG